AUUGAACGCUGGCGGCAUGCCUUACACAUGCAAGUCGAACGGCAGCACGGGAGCAAUCCUGGUGGCGAGUGGCGAACGGGUGAGUAAUAUAUCGGAACGUGCCCAGUCGUGGGGAUAACGUAGCGAAAGCUACGCUAAUACCGCAUACGAUCUAUGGAUGAAAGCGGGGGAUCGCAAGACCUCGCGCGAUUGGAGCGGCCGAUAUCAGAUUAGGUAGUUGGUGAGGUAAAGGCUCACCAAGCCGACGAUCUGUAGCUGGUCUGAGAGGACGACCAGCCACACUGGGACUGAGACACGGCCCAGACUCCUACGGGAGGCAGCAGUGGGGAAUUUUGGACAAUGGGCGCAAGCCUGAUCCAGCAAUAGCCGCGUGCAGGAUGAAGGCC
rnacentral:rRNA from 1 species